rnacentral:rRNA from 1 species
CCUGGUUGAUCAUGCAGUAGCAUAUGCUUGUCUCAAAGAUUAAGCCAUGCAUGUGUAAGUACACACGGCCGUUACCGUGAAACUGCGAAUGGCUCAUUAAAUCAGUUAUGGUGCCUUUGAUCGCUCCAUCUGUUACUUGGAUAACUGUGGUAAUUCUAGAGCUAAUACAUGCCGACGAGUGCGGACCUCCCAAGAUGCGUGCAUUUAUCAGACCAAGACCAAUCCGGGGCCGAUCGCAAGUCCCAGUGACGGCGACGAUGCAUUCGUAUGUCUGCACCAUCAACAUUCGAUGGUACUUUCUGUGCCUACCAUGGUUCCACGGUAAUGGGGAUCAGGGUUCGAUUCCGGAGAGGGAGCCUGAGAAAAGGCUACCACAUCCAAGGAAGGCAGCAGGUGCGCAAAUUACCCACUCCCGACUCCGGGAGGUAGUGAUGAAAAAUAACAAUACAGGACUCUUUCGAGGCACUGUAAUUUGAAUGAGUACACUUUAAAUCCUUUAACGAGUACCCAUUGGAGGGCAAGUCUGGUGCCAGCAGCUGCAGUAAUUCCAGGUCCAAUAGCGUAUAUUAAAAUUGCUGCAGUUAAAAAGCUCUUAGUUGGAUCUUGGGAUCGAGCUGUCGGUCCGCCGCGAGGCGAGCUACCGCCUGUCCCAGGCCCUGCCUCUCGACACCCCCUUGAUGCUCUUGACUGAGUGUCCUGGGGGUCCGAAGCGUUUACUUUGAAAAAGAGUGUUCAAAAGCAGGCCGGUCACCUGAAUACUUCAGCUAGGAAUAAUGGAAUAGGACUCUGGUUCUAUUUUGUUGGUUUUCGGAACUGGGUCCAUGAUUAAGAGGGAUGGCCGGGGCAUUUGUAUUGUGCCGCUACAGGUGAAAUUCCUGGACCGGCGCAAGACUAACCAAAGUGAAAGCAUUACCCAAGAAUUUUUUAAUUAAUCAAGAACGAAAGUCUGAUGUUCGAAGACAAUCCGAUACCGUCGUAGUUAACAACCAUAAAUGAUGCCGACUAGUGAUCUGGCGGCGUUAGUCCCAUGACCCGACGAGCAGCUUCCAGGAAACCAAAGUCUUUAGGUUCCGAUGGGGGUAGGGAGAUGGCUGCAAAGCUGAAACUUAAAGGAAUUGAUGGAAGGGCACCACCAGGAGUGGAGCCUGUGGCUUGAUUUGACUCAACACCGGAAAACCCCGCCCGGACACAGAAGGAUUGACAGAUUGAUAGCUCCUUCUCGAUUCUGUGGGUGGUGGUGCAUGGCCGUCGUUGGUUGGUGGAGCGAUUUGUCUGGUUAAUACCGAUAACGAACGAGACUCCUCCAUGCUAACUAGUUAUGUCAACUUCUUAGAGGGACAAGUGGCGUUCAGCCACACGAGAUCGAGCAAUAACAGGUCUGUGAUGCCCUUGGAUGUCCGGGGCUGCACGCGCGCUUCACUGAACGGAUCUGCGUGCAUCUACCCUUCGCCGACAAGUGCGGCUAACCCGCCGAACCCUGUCCGUGUUAGGGAUUGGGUAUUGCAAUUAUUUCCCAUGAACGAGGAAUUCCCAGUAAGUGCGGGUCAUAAGCUCACGUUGAUUAAGUCCAUGCCCUUUGUAAACACCACCUGUCGCUACUACCGAUUGGAUGGUUUAGUGAGGUCCUCGGAUCGGACCCGCCGGGGUUGGCAACGGCCCUGGCGGAGCGGCGAUAAGACGAUCAAACUUGAAUAUCUGGAGGAAGUAAGUCGUACGGGUUGGGUUAACCUGCCGGGG